AGUGAACGCUGGCGGUAGGCCUAACACAUGCAAGUCGAACGGCAGCACAGUAAGAGCUUGCUCUUACGGGUGGCGAGUGGCGGACGGGUGAGGAAUACAUCGGAAUCUACUUUUUCGUGGGGGAUAACGUAGGGAAACUUACGCUAAUACCGCAUACGACCUACGGGUGAAAGCAGUGGAUCUUCGGACCUUGCGCGAAUGAAUGAGCCGAUGUCGGGUUAGCUAGUUGGCGGGGUAAUGGCCCACCAAGGCGACGAUCCGUAGCUGGUGUGGGAGGCUGGUAGGCCACACUGGAACUGAGACACGGUCCAGACUCCUACGGGAGGCAGCAGUGGGGAAUAUUGGACAAUGGGCGCAAGCCUGAUCCAGCCAUACCGCGUGGGUGAAGAAGGCCUUCGGGUUGUAAAGACCUUUUGUUGGGAAAGAAAAGCAGCAGGUUAAUACCCCGCUGUUCUGACGGUACCGAAAGAAGAAGCACCGGCUAACUUCGUG
rnacentral:rRNA from 1 species